rnacentral:rRNA from 1 species
GAUGAACGCUGGCGGCGUGCCUAAUACAUGCAAGUCGAGCGAACGGACGAGAAGCUUGCUUCUCUGAUGUUAGCGGCGGACGGGUGAGUAACACGUGGAUAACCUACCUAUAAGACUGGGAUAACUUCGGGAAACCGUAGCUAAUACCGGAUAAUAUCUUGAACCGCAUGGUUCAAAAGUGAAAGACGGUCUUGCUGUCACUUAUAGAUGGAUCCGCGCUGCAUUAGCUAGUUGGUAAGGUAACGGCUUACCAAGGCAACGAUGCAUAGCCGACCUGAGAGGGUGAGCGGCCACACUGGAACUGAGACACGGUCCAGACUCCGACGGGAGGCAGCAGUAGGGAAUCGUCCGCAAUGGGCGAAAGCCUGACGGAGCAACGCCGCGUGAGUGAUGAAGGUCUUCGGAUCGUAAAACUCUGUUAUUAGGGAAGAACAUAUGUGUAAGUAACUGUGCACAUCUUGACGGUACCUAAUCAGAAAGCCACGGCUAACUACGUG